CAACCACACAUCGCAUAGUUGAAUUCCGAAGCAAUUAGCUUGAUUACCUGCAGUCCAUCUAAUUCUCAUCUAAUGCUGAUUAGUUUAAGCGAGUCAACACAUAGGACGGAAAGACCCUUUCAUAGUUUUCUCAAGGGGAGUGUACCGUGUGCAGGGGCAUAUCUCUGUUCCUUUGUAUGGUUGUUUAACAAUUUGUGAAAUGCUUGUAGUAUGAUAAUCUAGAUAGUGGGGAUAUGUUACAGAAAGUGUUGUGCCUGGCCUCACAUGUACAUGAGUUGGUUUAUCAUUAAGUGCUCUCUUUCCCACUAAAUUUCACAUCUGCCAUCUGAAAAAAACAAAUCCACAUUUACCUGAUUUCAAGUUCUUAUGGACCUUAUGGUAAAGUAUUUAAGUAAUUUUAGUCGGCUCAAAAGGCUCCAAGAUUCUUUGUCUAUCAUUUCCUGUUCAAAACUGACAACAGAACUUUGUGAAGCCUUUCAGUUUGUCUUUGUUUCAGUUACUUUACCACUCGGUCUUGAUGCCUGAACUAUGUGAACAUUGUCAGCUUAGUAAAAUUGUAUGAACUUGUGUGCCAUACACAUAGCAGGUCGAAAAACUACCAUUGUAUUUGCAUAUACUGCUUGUGACACAAUUUUCUGAAAACAUGUUGGUGGUCAUUGGUCAACAAAAGUUUUCAGCAUUCGGCACGGUGUUAAUAUUCUUGAAUUUAUUGUGCUUCUAGAAUUAUAGAUUUCCGAAUAAUUAGAUGGUCAGCUAUGCAAUAUAAUAUUCCCAUAGUAUUGAAAUAUUCUGUUCUGCAAAUAGUCCUUCAGCAAAUGGCGCUUACACUUAAUAUGGGAUACUCCAAAUCCAUAAGAGCAGGAUAUAUCUGAUAUUUUCUCCAUACAGAGUCGGCAGCAACUUGAUUUAUAUUUCCGCUACUUGUCAAUAUGAUGGCCCGUUGUAAAUAAAUGAGGCAUGGCCAUCACUUAUACUUGGGAACUACUUUUCAGUGAUAGCUGUAUUGACUAAGGGAACUACGGCGGGCUUAUGCCUACUGAACUAUAUUCGAAACUAUCAGAGUGUAUAGCAGAUUAGAGCAGAUUACAGCAGCCUUAAAGAUUGUUGGCCAUUAACGGCAGACCAGUGAGCGGCGGCGGGUGGGCGCGACCACAUGGUGGUUGGAAGGUAGGCUUCGCGGCGUUCAGCCUCGGCCACCAUCGUACCAUGAUCUCGGCCCACCCGGAAAGUUGGAUGAAGAGGUGGUGGACGACUGAUCCCGGAGAGGAGAACAAGCCUCCGAGCACGUGCUCGUCAACUCCAUGCCGGCCGCUCCAAGCGCCCCUGCUUCGUGUCUUCAAGGCAGGCACCGAGAUAGCCUUUGCAGCGAGCUGUGGUGUGUGGACUCUGCGGCGAGAUGGGAUUCAGAAUCCUUUUCCGUGAUAGCGCAUCCAAGGAAGGAAGGAGAUUGAGGUUGGCACCUCCUGAAGGCAUGCAUGCUCUUCACCGAGAGAGGGAAGGGCAUCUUUUUCUUGGGUUGCAGUUUCCACCUUGUUGUUGGAUGAGCUGAUUCGUUGUUUGUCAGAGCUCUUGUGGAUAAUCAGACAUGGGGUGCAUGGCAAAAUUAGGACAGACUGAAGGCAGCAAAUUCCGCGUUGGCCGUGCACUUUGAGGAGAAGACAUUGUCUUUGUAUAAGUGCCCCUACAAUCAUCUCUUUACAGCAGAGAUAAGGCCUUCAGAUAGAUAUGGCCGCAUAAAUCGCACCGAUGGAUCCAGUCCUUCGCUAGGUCCAACCUACCCUGCACCAGCCUCAAGCACGUUAUUCAGUCAACGCAUAUUCUGUCUUUUGGCAUGUGUAUGCUUGCUCUUGUGCUCAUGUUGUAAUCGUGACCUGUAAUCAGUCCAUGAUCCUUGUGUGACCAGAAGUUGGGCAUAACUGCAUUGUUACUGAGAAGAUGUGAAUAUUAACUUAGGGAUCGGAGCUGAAGCUCUAGCCGAUAGCAAAGAUAUGAAGUCUGUGCUCUGUCUUAUGUUUGCAAGUAUAUUGAUGUAACUUCACAUCUUGAAUGGAGUCACUCCUAUGUGUACUGCCGCUGUAAUUACACAACAUGAAUUUUCCGUUUUUGUGAUCA